ensembl:lncRNA
CAAAGCUUAUCCAGCAGGGAGAAGAGAUCAAGCCGUUAAGAUGUACGCAGUGCUGGAUGAACAGAGUAACAAGUCGCUCGCAAAGACAGAGUUCUUCAACCUCUUUGGCAUCAAAGCCAGUCCAACCCCAUACACACUGAGGACCUGCGCAGGGACAACAGAGACCUCCGGCAGACGAGUCGACAACUUUAUGCUUGAAUCUAUGGACGGAAAUCUACAACUCUCCCUCCCCACACUAAUCGAGUGUGACAUGGUGCCGGACGAUAGAUCUGAAAUCCCGUCUCCUGACGUCGCAGAGCAACACUCCCACCUCCAGCCAGUGGCGAACAAGAUUCCAGCUGUGGACCCCGACGCACCUAUCCUCUUGCUCCUGGGAAGAGACAUCCUCAGGGUGCAUAAGGUGCGUGAACAAAUCAACGGGCCACACAACGCUCCAUACGCUCAAAGGCUGGACCUGGGCUGGGUCAUCGUGGGUGCCGUCUGCCUGGGGGCAGCCCACAACCAAGUUAACGUGUACAAAGCCAACGUGCUGCAAAAUGGACGAACAUCCUUUCUCUCUCCCUGUCCAAACAACAUCCACGUGAAGGAGUACCACAACAGCGCACCGCAGCGACACAACCGUCUCUCAUCCCCCCGUGAUGAAGACACAGGCUGGGCAACAAGCACAGACAGCCUCGGCCACGCAGUGUUUGAAAGCUCCAGAGACGACAACUGACAGCGUUGUCAAUGGACGACAAAGCAUUCCCGACCAUCAUGGACAGAGAGGUCUUCCAGGACAUCGACCACAGCUGGGUAACACCCUUGCCGUUCCGGUCAUCACGACGACCUCUUCCAAGCAACCGGGAACAGGCUGUCAAACGUCUCUGCUGUCUCAGAAAGACUCUGGAGAAAAAGCCAGAAACGAAUAGUCACUACAUGGAGUUCAUGCAGAAAAUGCUGGUCAACGACCAAGCCAGCCACGCCAAGCUACAGCCACGCCGAGCUACAGCCACGCCGAGCUACAGCCACGCCAGGCUACAGCCACGCCAAGCUACAGCCACGCCAAGCUACACCCUCGCCAAGCUACAGCCACGCCAAGCUACAGCCUCGCCAAGCUACAGCCUCGCCAAGCUACAGCCACGCCAAGCUACAGCCUCGCCAAGCUACAGCCAUGCCAAGCUACAGCCACGCCAAGCUACAGCCACGCCAAGCUACAGCCUCGCCAAGCUACAGCCUCGCCAAGCUACAGCCUCGCCAAGCUACAGCCUCGCCAAGCUACAGCCACGCCAAGCUACAUCCUCGACAAGCUACAGCCUCGCCAAGCUACAGUCACGCCAUGCCAAGCUACAGCCUUGCCAAGCUACAGUCACGCCACGCCAAGCUACAGCCUCGCCAAGCUACAGCCAUGCCGAGCCAUGCUGCUUCAGCCAGGACACAUCCGCCUCACACGCGAGAUCCUGAGCACUCUCAUGUCUGAGGUGAGGGCAUUCAUGAAUACCAGGCCCCUGGUCCCAGUGUCCUCUGAUCCCGAUAUGCCUGCAGUCCUCACCCCAGCGAUGCUGCUUACCCAGAAGAUGAGUGCCAUCUCAGCCCCUUCUAGGAACUUCCAAAUGGCUGAUCUACACGGGAAGCAAUGGAAACAUGUCCAGUGCCUUGCGAACACCUUUUGGAAAAGGUGGAGAAGGGACUACCUAUCAACACUGCAAGGCCGCAGAAAAUGGACUGACGAAAGGCCAAAUGUCAAAGCCGGCGACGUCGUCUUGCUCAAGGACAACCAGCCCACAGAAACGAAUGGCCUGUGGGAGUAAUCGUUAACACUCUGUCGAGCGGUGACAAGAGGAUCCGUAAGGUGGAAGUUAGAAUAGUAAAAGAAGGAACUUCUAAAGUGCUUUUGAGGCCUAUUUCAGAAAUUGUAGUGCUCCUUUCUGAGUAAUUUUAGAGGACUUUAGUUGCCACAAACGUGUUUACUGUUGUUUAAUGAUUUAUAGUGGCAUAAUAUAAUUAU